rnacentral:rRNA from 1 species
GCGCGNGGCAACCUGGCGGCGAGUGGCGAACGGGUGAGUAAUAUAUCGGAACGUACCCUGGAGUGGGGGAUAACGUAGCGAAAGUUACGCUAAUACCGCAUACGAUCUAAGGAUGAAAGUGGGGGAUUCGCAAGAACCUCAUGCUCCUGGAGCGGCCGAUAUCUGAUUAGCUAGUUGGUGGGGUAAAGGCCUACCAAGGCAUCGAUCAGUAGCUGGUCUGAGAGGACGACCAGCCACACUGGAACUGAGACACGGUCCAGACUCCUACGGGAGGCAGCAGUGGGGAAUUUUGGACAAUGGGCGAAAGCCUGAUCCAGCAAUGCCGCGUGAGUGAAGAAGGCCUUCGGGUUGUAAAGCUCUUUUGUCAGGGAAGAAACGGUGGNGGCUAAUAUCCYUUGCUAAUGACGGUACCUGAAGAAUAAGCACCGGCUAACUACGUGCCAGCAGCCGCGGUAAUACGUAGGGUGCAAGCGUUAAUCGGAAUUACUGGGCGUAAAGCGUGCGCAGGCGGUUUUGUAAGUCUGUCGUGAAAUCCCCGGGCUCAACCUGGGAAUUGCGAUGGAGACUGCAAGGCUAGAAUCUGGCAGAGGGGGGUAGAAUUCCACGUGUAGCAGUGAAAUGCGUAGAGAUGUGGAGGAACACCGAUGGCGAAGGCAGCCCCCUGGGUCAAGAUUGACGCUCAUGCACGAAAGCGUGGGGAGCAAACAGGAUUAGAUACCCUGGUAGUCCACGCCCUAAACGAUGUCUACUAGUUGUCGGGUUUUAAUUAACUUGGUAACGCAGCUAACGCGUGAAGUAGACCGCCUGGGG